UAAAAAUCUUGUUAUAAUUCAGAAAAAGUAUACACUGUACAAUCGAUUGUAUACACUCCAGUAAGAUGAAAUGUUUUUAAAUUAUACCUGACAAUCGAUUGUUUGGAUUUGAAAAUCGAUUGUCUGGUCCAGUAACUUAGAAAAAUUUUUCCUUGUCACAUCCAGUGACUUAAAAUUUUCAGAAAAAACCAAACAAUCGAUUGUCUGUUUUGACAAUCGAUUUUCUGGUCCAGUAACUUAGAAAAUUUUUUUCUUGUCUC
rnacentral:lncRNA from 1 species